AUGCACUAUAAGAAUGUUUUAAUUAUCACAGGACAAAGGGCGAGUAAUUAAUCUUCACAUUUGUUCUCAGAAGGUGAUAACCAGCAUAAAAGAGAUAGCACAAACAUGUGCAUAUAUGCAACAAAAAAUAUAACAGAAUAAGUUAACAGCAGCCAAGGUCUCAUUGGCUCCAUUCUUCAAGCAAUAACAGCAGCCCUACCAUCAUCAUCUAAUUCACCAUUUCUAGUAUAAUCCAGAGCAUACCAAAGUGACAAUAUCAUCCUAUUCUUUUGUUAUUUAACUCGCUUUUUCCCAUCUUAUAAUUUUGU
rnacentral:misc_RNA from 1 species